rnacentral:rRNA from 1 species
UACGGGGGGAGCAAGCGUUGUUCGGAUUUACUGGGCGUAAAGGGCGCGUAGGCGGCCACCGCAAGUCAGUUGUGAAAUCUCUGGGCUUAACCCAGAACGGUCAGCUGAUACUGCGGGGCUAGAGUGCAGAAGGGGCAACUGGAAUUCUCGGUGUAGCGGUGAAAUGCGUAGAUAUCGAGAGGAACACCGGUGGCGAAGGCGGGUCUCUGGGCCGAAACUGACGCUGAGGAGCGAAAGCGUGGGGAGCAAACAGG